UUAAGCUUAGAAUGUUUAUAGCUGUGUCUGAAAGAUAGCUGUAAAGUAAUCUCUGGUUUAAGCUCACUCGCUCCUGCACUUUCAUGCGAGCUCAGUCCUCUACGCAUUGGAUUGUGGGAAAUUGUGCUUUAAGUGUACAUUGGAUGUACGCUCUAGUUCAGAGAGGAUUGUGGGUAAAAGUAGUGAACUAAUGUAGGGAAUGAUGUCAUUCACUCAGAAUUCGGACACCACUACAAAAUGGCCGACACCCUAAAUAGUGCACUAUAUAGUGGAUAGGGAGCAAUUUCAGACACAGCUUAUAUCUUUGUGUUUUGUGUUAAUAUCUAAUGUUAGCCAAAUUCAGGGAUGACAUUAUUUAUGGCUUGUUUUGAUGCCAUCAGGGCGCCAAAAACAAAUCCACAGCAACCAAAGGAGGACAUCAACACCAUUGAAACAGACAUCAGUAACUCGUAAAUUUACGAUAAAACCUUUUCUUCCCAUUUAACCCAUACCCAUAUUUUACCCAUAUAACAUGUGCUAAAAUCUACUGCUAAACUUUGGCCUUUCCCACUAAUUAGCCUUGACAGCAAGGAAUCGCACCCCACACUUUAGACAUGGAGAGGCAGAGGUCUUAAGUUGUAAGUAAUACUGUGUCAGUUCACUAACACUGCAUUCAAAUAUUACAGGUUUACCCAUAUAUCCAAAAUACUGUUACACAACAUGCGUUAUCUUUCACAACAAUUUAAGUUCUAAAACUGACCGUGUUUAACUCAACCUAUUAAACUAAAUUUUGUACAACCAAAUCUGCAGAGUAAAAGAGUUUUACUUCCUUCUACUGUCAUUUAACAUGUUCAAACUAAUAUAUUGUUGUGGUGUUCCCCUCUUUAGCAUCAUCCCACACUGGUUUCAGUGAAGGUUGGUACUGACAGUAAGGCAUUUUUUUUCAUAGCUUUUUCUUUUUUUUAUAGCUUGGAUACGCAAAAUUCUUGCAAACCAAGAAAUGAUUUAAGAACAGAUGGGAACAUUGGUUAAAUUGGUCUACGACCUCAAAAAAUUAUCAACUACAGAAGACAGCCCAACAUUAAACACAGACUGUUUUCCAAUGUCAAGUUUUCAACAACUUCAAGUCAUGGAGGGGCAGCUGCAGCAGGAAGACUACAAAACAACUGUGGUAAGAUUUCAUAUUUCAAUAGAACAAUUUAACUCCUCAAUUAACUGUGUCAGUGUUUUCAUCUUUUGUUCAUUGUACAUGGUACAGAAGGUAGUCAACCACAUGUUAAAAUCAUAUCUGUACUGGCUGGGCCGGUUCGACAUGGAAUGGUUAAGCAACAAGAAAGAUAAACACGUUAGCCUUGAGGGGAGGCACAUCAGUAAAGGAAAGUGUAUGGCGGAUUCUGAGCUUCCUUCUAUCAAACGACAUGGCCCGGCAAAUGAACUGGAGGGGAAUCAAUGGAAAAGCGGCAUUCAAAGACACCUCUCUGAAAACUGUAAUUAAUGCUGCAGUCAGAAGAAACCGUUUGACUUCCACUGCAACAGACCAGGAAGUAGAAAACUGGAUAAAGAGAUGGCUGCAGCUUUCCGCAGACAGGGAUGGAGGCCGUCGGGCAAGACAAAAAAAUUGACUGUUUCCUGGUUCUGACACUUGCUUGUUCAACGGACUGCCCUUUUGCCUUGCUGUUUUUGAACUAUAGAUCUGAUACUCCACUUGUUUAUUAAAUUCUCCUGGUUCUGACACUUGCUCGCCCUGCCUGUUCAACGGACUGCCCUUUUGCCUUGCUCUGUUUUUUUAACUAUAGAUCCGAUUCUACGCUUGUUUUAUUAAAUUCUCCUGGUUUUGAGUGACACUUGCUUGACCUUGUUCAUAAUAUGUAGACCUUGUCUAAUGUUUUCUUUGGACUGAUUUCUGGCAGUCCUCCCCUUCUGGACCUCUGCCUGUUUAAUUGUAUAUAUUUAUAUAAUGUAUUUAUUAUAUUUAUUGUUUCCUUUUUUUUUUUUUAUAAAUAUUUGUUUUCUUUGGACUACCUUCUUGGUUUCUUGCAGUCCUCCCCUUCUGGACCCUGCCUGUUUUUAUUUUAUAUUUGUUAUUUAUAUAAUAUGUAUUUAGAAUAUGUAUUGUUUCCUGUUUUUGAUUACUAUUUAUACAUUUAAAUGUAAAAUUUAACUAAUUUUUUUUUUUAUAAAUAUUUGUUUUCUUUGAACUACCUUCUUGGUUUCUUGCAGUCCUCCCCUUCUGGACCCUGCCUGUUUUUAUUUUAUAUUUGUUAUUUAUAUAAUAUGUUUAUGUAUUGUUUCCUGUUUUUGAUUACUAUUUAUACAUUUAAAUGUAUUCAUGAAAUAUUUUAUAUUUAUUAAAUCACUUUUGACUGAUUAUUUUAGUAUUUUCUUUAAUAUAUGAUAAUUAGAUCUGGGCCACAUGUGGCCCAUGCCAUUUUUG
ensembl:lncRNA